UACCUCAAACUCAUGGUAAAAUAUAUUUUAUUUUCACUUAUCAAAAUAAUCAUAUUUCAUCAAUUCUAAAAUUUUACUCUAAUAGUCUUGUAUUGGUUCAUUCUAUAGAACUAGUUUGUUUUCACAUAACUUACUCCAAAGUAAAAUUGACCAUAGACACACUCUUCCAAUUUUAACAUAAUUAACCUUAACUAUGAGUCUUAAUUUAUUUAUUUUCUUAAAAUUUUGAAACAACACAAUUUUAUUUAUAAUAAUUCUUACAUAACUACAAUAAGUGCCUAUAAUAGGGAAAACACAACAAGAAACAAAAUUUGUGCAAGUAUAGCAUGACAAACAAAACAUAGCAAAACCAAUACACCAUACUAGAAACCAAAACAAUCAAUUUGUACUUCCCUAACCACAAAAUGCAGCAACGCGGCAGUUAGCCUAAUAACUAAAAAAAAAAAACAUAAGGAAUCCUAUACCAUCAAAAACAAAGACUAGCAACGCAAAAUCUCGUGUCCCUAAAAUUUUACCUUAACAAACUAUUACUUAAAUUUCUUUAGGAUUUACUAUGAUUUUUUUUUUUAUCGUAAUACCAUUUCUAAAAAUUGGCAUCCGCGCUAAAGUCUACUAAAUUUCAUGCUCACAUAUUAUUCAACUAGCCAUAAGCUAACACAAUGUUAC
rnacentral:lncRNA from 1 species